ensembl:snoRNA
UGGACCGAAUGAUGACGACUUGUGGCGUAUGAGUCACGGACGAUGAAUACGUGUGGCACUCUGAGGUCCAG